GCCCCGGCCCGCAUACAACGCUGUCUGCACCGCUCCCCUGCCUUCUUCCGGGCUCCCAGAGCACCGCUAUGGAGAUGCUCUCCCGGCAUUUGAGGAAGAAUUGAUUGUCCUCAUCCUGCAACUGUACUUGCCCAACCGAUAUUUAUUGAUGCCUGCAGUGUCCUGGGUGCCUACCAAGGGGCACAGAACUGGAUCCGACGCAGACCCUGCCUGCCUUCAGGUUGCUUGAAGAUGAACAGAGAGAUCGGACCUCUGCAUUUGGCACUACCACCAUCUGGUCUGUAUGUAAUCCUUUACAGUUUGCAAGGCACUUUUACAUCCAUUAUAUUUAAUUUGAUUCUUACAACCAACUUGUGAGAUAGGCAAGAUGUGAAGUCGAUAUUUUAUAGACAAAGCAGCUGAAGCAUAAUAGGAGCUUAACUGGUGGGAUCCAUUUAUCCAUUUUCUCUUCCAUGGAGCAUCUUGUUGUAUUCAUCCAAAUCCUUGACAGAAAUGUUGAAGAGGACCUCUAGAGGCUAAGCUUAUCCUGAAUUCUUAAAUAGCACUGACUGUUACAGUUUAAGCAAGUCAGUUUCACCUAAAAGUGUGAUUAUCCAACCCACAUGUUGCCUUUCUGUUCAAAAAGGAUGGUACCAAAGACAGUCACAGUCACCUGGCUUACUGACAUAAAUAUUAAUACUAAUCAAAUGAGUAAAAAGCCCAUGAGGAUUGGCUGCCACAAAAAAUUUUCAACCUGUAUCUACCAAGAAACUAUCAUACCAACUAAGGAAGCCAAGUCUCUCUCUCUUUCAAAACCCUCACGGGGCCAUGCUUUAUUAUAAUGGUCUGCCACAGGUCCUAACCCACACUGUAUUUGAUUAUAUACAGUCUCAUAAUUAAGUCAUUCCUCUUUAUCACACCCAGCACUUAGUCCACUGCUGCCCAUGUAGGAGGCACUCAAAUUGGUAAAAGAGAAAUCUAUGCAAGGGAAUGAUCUUCUGGACCCCCUCCAAAAACAAACUUGUGACUAGAAGAGGCACCAGCCAUAGCCACAUUCCUACUAACAGGGCUGAUUUAAAUGCCCUUUUUAUUGGCUUGGUCAUAGUCUCCAACAGGUGCCAAGGCUUUUGCUAGUUAAACCAGUUUUCAUUGGAUCAUUUUGUUUUCUAUGUGUGUUUUGACCAAAAACAAAGAUAGGUUCUCUAACAACAGGGAGAGAAUAUAUGAAAUAGGAAUAUGUCUAUAAAACGACAGUCUACCAGUAAGGAAAAUAAGUGAUCCAUAAAACAAAACAUCUGACUGUAGGUCUACCCAAAGAAAGGAAAAAGGACUAACAAACAAGAAUAUAGUGCUUUACCAUUUACAAAUCUUUCACAUACAUUCUCAUUUGACCCUCACAACAACCCUGUGAGGUAGGCAUCACGGACAUUCUACUCAUUAAACAGAUGAAGACAGUAAAUCUCAGAGUAGUUCACUGAUAAUGCCCAAGGCUCUACAGUUAGUGAGUGAUUUGUAUUAAUAUCAGUCUUUGGCCUAAAAAUUCAGCACCCCUCUUCCCCUUAUACUUGUCCCACCUACUUCACAGGGAUAAUGAAGAUAAAAUGAAUUCAAGGCUAGAAAAAUACUUUGAGGGAGAAAAGCACUAUAUAAUUAUACCUACAAACUAUGAUUUUCCCCAAUAUAUGGCUCAUUCCUCUUCUCAUCUCAGCUUGUGUGUGAACCCAGAGUUGUAUAUUGCCUCUGUCCUGUGCUCAGUAAGCAAAUAAGGCAGGCAGGGGGUACAGUGUGAUCCUGUUUAAAGUUACAUAAAUUACAAUCAGGGUAACUGCUAUUAUUAGGCAAAUUGAAAAACAGCACAGAAAGGCCAGUGUGCAACUAGGACCCACUAAAGCUCAGAGGAAAGCAAUGCAAGAUUAUCAGACAGGCAUGAUUGCAUAGAAGGAAAAUGUGGUGUCAGAGUUCAAACUGGCACACACACACACAGUUAUCUAAGGCAAAGUGGUGGCAAAGAAGUUAUUUGUUCCAUGUCACACAAACAAGAGCAGAAGAUUCAUGGGAACCCGUACAAAAGCAUCUUGUGUCACACAGAUCUCUCCAGCUGCCUAUAGGGAAUAUACAGAACAGUGUCACCUUCAAAGAAUGACUGUACCUGUGUUCAUAUCCUGAACUGCACCAAGGAAUAGCUCCAUGCUAAACUGUCUUGGCUAAAAUACAACCAGUGCCAUCAUUCCUAAUCAGACUAAUAAACAGAAUGUCUUUUAAGGUAAUGAGUUAGAUGGCUGUGUUUAGGUUUUGUUCAGGAUUUACUUUGGAUUCUCCUGCUUUAAGACCCAAAGAAAGUUAUAUUGAGUUUUUAUUGAUGAUUCUAUGUGUUUUUAACAGAGUGUGAUAGGUGAAUUAAACAUAUUAAAAGAGUUCUAUAGCAUCUGUUCAGAAAAGAUUAUAUACUAUACAAACUAUUCAAGUCAUACAAAACCAUUUUUCAUUGUCUUUCAAACUGAGAAGAAUCCUAUUCAGCACGCUUCUCCUCCUGAGGUGGUUCAUACUGAGCAAGCUAUGGGGCAAAGACAGAGGAAUUUAGGUGAAUUUUAUUCUAAAUUGAGUAAAAAAUAGUAAAACAAGGUAACUGUUAUAUUCAACUUAGUUACUGUCAGUAAAUUGUAUUAAUAUCAGUUUCUAUAACUAUCCAUUUUAAAUCAUUCAGUGAUUUAAGAUUUAAUACAAUCAAAUCUAAUGAAAGCCCUUUUUAUAUAAACCUUUAAAAUUGCUUUGAAACUAAAAUUUCAUUCCAGUUCAUGACUGCACUGUUCAAAUACUUGAUAUGCAAUAAACUAUAUCUUCCCAAAGAUUCAUUUGCUUAUAAGGAACUUUCUUCCUCUCCAGCAAAAGUUUACUGAAAAUACCCACUGAAAAGUAGAUAAAGAGUUAAGUGACAUGUCUUAACUUAACCAGCCAAUAAACAACUACUAAUGUCUUUGAGUUAAAAGGUUCCAAAGAGUUAACUAGCACUACACAUUGUGGAAUCUUGGAUAAUUUAAAAUAACUGCAUUUUCUUUUAUGCUAAGUGUGGUUCCUUGCAAGAACACUAGGCUAACAUUAGGGUUCUGCCAACUACCUGUUGGAGUUGAGAAGCUUAUUAGACUUCACUGUGCUUUCGUUUCCUCACCUAUAAAGUGGCUUGUGUACUUGUUUCACUUAUCUCACAAAGUUGUUGAGAAGAUAAAAUAUAUUAUGAGAAAUACUUAGAGUAAUGUAAAAUACAUUAUGUGAUUAAGAAUGUGGUAAGACCUGAAAGACUUAAGAGUUGACUAAUUUGAAGUUCAUGAAAAUUCUCACAGGACUUUGAAAAAAGAAAAAACUGGCUGGGUGAGGUGGCUCAUGCCUAUAAUCCCAACACUUCGGGAGGCCAGGCCAGGAGGAACGUUUGAGUCAUGAGUUUGAGACCAGCCAGGGCAACAUAAUGGGACCCCAUUUCUACAAAAAGUUUAAAAAUUAGCCGAGCAUGGUGGCAAAUGCCUGCAGUCCCAGCUACUCAGGAGGCAGAGGUGGGGGGAUUACUUGAGCCUGGGAAGUCAAGGCUGCAGUGAGACAUGACUGCACCACUGCACACAAGCCUGGGUAACAGAGAACCUGUCUCAAAAAAAGAAAGAAAAAACUUUAGCACUAGAUAAAAUUAAGUCCUAACAAAUUUACAGAGGGCCGCUACAUAUGGCCUUGCAAACUAUGAACCAUACAAAUUCUAAGAAGUGCCAUUUACAAAGCAGUCGCCCCAUAUUGGCCUACUUAAAAUCAACUGCUUAAGAACCUCAGAACUGACCAUUUACUUAUAAAGAACAUUAACCAAUAUUCUCA
rnacentral:lncRNA from 1 species